AGAGUUUGAUCAUGGCUCAGAUUGAACGCUGGCGGCAGGCCUAACACAUGCAAGUCGAGCGGUAGCACAGAGAGCUUGCUCUCGGGUGACGAGCGGCGGACGGGUGAGUAAUGUCUGGGAAACUGCCUGAUGGAGGGGGAUAACUACUGGAAACGGUAGCUAAUACCGCAUAAUGUCGCAAGACCAAAGUGGGGGACCUUCGGGCCUCAUGCCAUCAGAUGUGCCCAGAUGGGAUUAGCUAGUAGGUGGGGUAACGGCUCACCUAGGCGACGAUCCCUAGCUGGUCUGAGAGGAUGACCAGCCACACUGGAACUGAGACACGGUCCAGACUCCUACGGGAGGCAGCAGUGGGGAAUAUUGCACAAUGGGCGCAAGCCUGAUGCAGCCAUGCCGCGUGUGUGAAGAAGGCCUUCGGGUUGUAAAGCACUUUCAGCGGGGAGGAAGGCGUUGAGGUUAAUAACCUUGGCGAUUGACGUUACCCGCAGAAGAAGCACCGGCUAACUCCGUGCCAGCAGCCGCGGUAAUACGGAGGGUGCAAGCGUUAAUCGGAAUUACUGGGCGUAAAGCGCACGCAGGCGGUCUGUCAAGUCGGAUGUGAAAUCCCCGGGCUCAACCUGGGAACUGCAUUCGAAACUGGCAGGCUAGAGUCUUGUAGAGGGGGGUAGAAUUCCAGGUGUAGCGGUGAAAUGCGUAGAGAUCUGGAGGAAUACCGGUGGCGAAGGCGGCCCCCUGGACAAAGACUGACGCUCAGGUGCGAAAGCGUGGGGAGCAAACAGGAUUAGAUACCCUGGUAGUCCACGCCGUAAACGAUGUCGAUUUGGAGGUUGUGCCCUUGAGGCGUGGCUUCCGGAGCUAACGCGUUAAAUCGACCGCCUGGGGAGUACGGCCGCAAGGUUAAAACUCAAAUGAAUUGACGGGGGCCCGCACAAGCGGUGGAGCAUGUGGUUUAAUUCGAUGCAACGCGAAGAACCUUACCUGGUCUUGACAUCCACAGAACUUUCCAGAGAUGGAUUGGUGCCUUCGGGAACUGUGAGACAGGUGCUGCAUGGCUGUCGUCAGCUCGUGUUGUGAAAUGUUGGGUUAAGUCCCGCAACGAGCGCAACCCUUAUCCUUUGUUGCCAGCGGUUCGGCCGGGAACUCAAAGGAGACUGCCAGUGAUAAACUGGAGGAAGGUGGGGAUGACGUCAAGUCAUCAUGGCCCUUACGACCAGGGCUACACACGUGCUACAAUGGCAUAUACAAAGAGAAGCGACCUCGCGAGAGCAAGCGGACCUCAUAAAGUAUGUCGUAGUCCGGAUUGGAGUCUGCAACUCGACUCCAUGAAGUCGGAAUCGCUAGUAAUCGUAGAUCAGAAUGCUACGGUGAAUACGUUCCCGGGCCUUGUACACACCGCCCGUCACACCAUGGGAGUGGGUUGCAAAAGAAGUAGGUAGCUUAACCUUCGGGAGGGCGCUUACCACUUUGUGAUUCAUGACUGGGGUGAAGUCGUAACAAGGUAACCGUAGGGGAACCUGCGGUUGGAUCACCU
rnacentral:rRNA from 1 species